GGGUCCAGAUCCAUUGCCAUCCCUAGUGAAGAGUAAUUUGGAUGGAUUAGAUCUAGGGUUUCAUUUUUUUUAUAUAAAAAAAAUUUGCUGAAUUAAUUAAACAUUUAAUUUUUUUUUUCGCUAAUAACUAUCCGUUUAUUUGUUAUUUUUUUUUUAACUUCAUUUGGUUUGAUUAUUUGACACAGGAAGUCUCAAUAAGACGGGAAAAACUAAUGGCCCUAAAAUUUGAUGAAUGAAGGGAAAGGCAAGGCUACGCUGGUGGUCUAAGCUUGCGGAAGCGGUGGAUUCGUACUAUGGUUUGCAGGUGCCCUGAAUCAUGGUUGGGUGAUUGAUUAAGCAGAGAUGUGCAUAUGCUAAACAGAAAUCUCACUUGGAAAUAGUACUCAAGCUCCAUAUUGAUGUAACUAUAUUUGUAAUUUUUAGUGAAGUUAAAUAAUUUUAUUUUUAUUAUUAUGGUUCAAUCUAA